UACGAAGGGGGCAAGCGUUACUCGGAAUUACUAGGCGUAAAGGGCAGGUAGGUGGUUUUGUAAGUCUAUUGUGAAAGCUCCCGGCUUAACUGGGAGAGGUCAAUGGAUACUGCAGAACUUGAGUAUAGGAGAGGUUACUGGAAUUCCCGGUGUAGCGGUGAAAUGCGCAGAGAUCGGGAGGAACACCAAUGGCGAAAGCAGGUAACUGGACUAUUACUGACACUCAGAUGCGAAAGCUAGGGGAGCAAACAGG
rnacentral:rRNA from 1 species